AUCAUCAUGCAAAAUUUCAGCUCAAUUAAAGUUCAUAUGGCAAGGUAACAAAAAUCAUGAAGUCAGACAAAAAAUGGUGUGACACAAAUUGUCACACCUCUAAUGAUCAUGUCAUAUCUCACAAUCCAGGAACUCAAAAAUCACAAACCAUAUACCAAAAUGUUCAUUGAGGUCUCUAGAAUAAGCAUGCAAAAUUUCAA
rnacentral:lncRNA from 1 species